rnacentral:tmRNA from 1 species
CAGAGUCAUCUCGUCAAACGCUCUCUGCAAACCAAUAAGUGCCGAAUCCAAGCGCACUGACUUCGCUCUCGCUGCCUGAUCAGUGA